CAGUGUCAGUUUCUUCAGUCUGUAUGUGUCUGCCUGUCCUCAGAGUGUCCCCAGUGUCAGAGUGUCUUCAGUCUGUCCCGAGGAGGCUGUCUCCACUUUACCUGCAGUCAGUGUCAGCAUCAGUUCUGUGGCGGCUGCAGCCAGCCCUUCUACCUCGGAUCUGCCUGUAGUUUCUCUGCUGACUGUGGGUCUAAAGGUCUUCACGCCCACCACCCCCGAGACUGUCUGUACCACCUGAGAGACUGGAGCGUGUCCCGCCUCCACCUGCUGCUACAAUAUUACAGAGUGUCUUCUUCCUGGGUGGAAUCAGCCAAUAGCAGCUCAGCUCCUAUCAGUCAGACUGAGGAGUGUUUGAUUCUGGAGCUGAGAGACGACGGCAGCCGGGCGGAGGAACCCUGUGGACGCCCUGCACCACCCGGGUACCGGGGCCACUGCCAGUAAGUUAUCUCCACCCGUCUGCUGCCAGUAAGUUAUCUCCACCCGUCUGCUGCCAGUAAGUUAUCUCCACCUGUCUAAUGCCAGUAAGUUAUCUCCACCCGUCUGUUGCCAGUAAGUUAUC